CCACACCUAAAAAACUUUCCACGUGAACCGUUUCAACCCAAUAGUUGGGGGUCUUAUUUGGCGGCGGCUGCUGGCUUAAUUGUUGGCGGCUGCUGCUGAGUGAGCCCUAUCAAAAAAAAAGGGAAACGUUGGGGUUUCGCCCGGAUUUAGUAUUUUUUUUUCUUUUAAACCCAUUCCUUAAUACUGAAUAUACUGUGGGGACGAAAGUCUCUGCUUUUAACUAGAUAGCAACUUUCAGCAGUGGAUGUCUAGGCUCGCACAUCGAUGAAGAACGCUGCGAACUGCGAUACGUAAUGCGAAUUGCAGGAUUCAGUGAGUCAUCGAAAUUUUGAACGCAUAUUGCACUUCCGGGUUAGUCCUGGAAGUAUGCCUGUAUCAGUGUCCGUACAUUAAACUUGACUUUCUUCCUUCCGUGUAGUCGGUGGAGGAGAUGUCAGAUGUGAAGUGUCUUGCGAUUGGUCUUCGGACCGGCUGCGAGUCCUUUUAAAUGUACUAAACUGAACUUCUCUUUGCUCGAAAAGUGGUGGCGUUGCUGGUUGUGAAGGCUGCUAUUGUGGCAAAUUGGCGACUGGUUUGUCUGCUGCGGCAUUAAUGGAAGAGUGUUCGAUUCGUGGUAUGGUUGGCUUCGGCUGAACAAUGCACUUAUUGGACGUUUUUCCUGCUGUGGCGUGAUGGACUGGUGAACCAUAGCUCGGUGGCUUGGCUUUUGAAUUGGCUUUGCUGUUGCGAAGUAGGGUGGCAGCUUCGGUUGUCGAGGGUCGAUCCAUUUGGGAACUUAAUGUGUACUUCGGUAUGCAUCUCAA
rnacentral:rRNA from 1 species